AUAGAGGUUGCUCAGUGGUUAGAGCACUGGCUGCUUUUCCAGAAGACCUGGGUUCAGUUCCCAGCACCUACA
rfam:Mus musculus chromosome 5 genomic contig, GRC reference assembly alternate locus group 129S6/SvEvTac.